rnacentral:rRNA from 1 species
CGCGAAUAGCUCAUUACAACAGCUAUAAUUUACUUGAUCUUGACAAAUCCUACUUGGAUAACUGUGGUAAUUCUAGAGCUAAUACAUGCACCAAAGCUCCGACCUUGCGGGAGGAGUGCAUUUAUUAGAACAAAACCAAGCGGCUUCGGCCGUCUUUUGUUGACUCAGAAUAACUCAGCUGAUCGCACGGUCUUGCACCGGCGACGUGUCUUUCAAGUAUCUGCCUUAUCAACUUUCGAUGGUAGUGUAUCUGACUACCAUGGUUGUGACGGGUAACGGAGGAUAAGGGUUCGACUCCGGAGAAGGGGCCUGAGAAAUGGCCACUACGUCUAAGGAUGGCAGCAGGCGCGCAAAUUACCCGCUCUCAACGCGAGGAGGUAGUGACGAGAAAUAACAAGACCGUUCACCUGCGAGGCCGGUUAUUGGAAUGGGUACAAUUUAAACCCUUUAACGAGUAUCUAUGAGAGGGCAAGUCUGGUGCCUGCCUAGCCGCGGUAAUUCCAGCU